CCUUCUCUCUCCAGCCUGCCCUAAUCCUGCUAGGACACUACAGCUGCCAGCCACUUCUGGCAGCACUGACUUGCUGUUGGAAGAGUUUCCCUUUACUGCUAGAGAUACAGUUGAAGAUCAGUCCUUUUGGACCAGAAGACAGAGAAUGGCUACCUUUUCAGUGACAAGGUAGGUGAGGUAAUAUCUUUUAUUGGAACAAGUUCUGUUGGUGAAAGAGACAAGCUUUUGAGACUUAUUAUUGUGUCUAAGCAGACACUGGCAUCUUACAUUCCUAGUCUAAAGGAGAGGAUGGGUGUAUGUGAACAUUUCCUGUCUCUUUUUCUCAAGUGUCUGAUAAUGAAAAGAGUAAAAUUAAUUGAUUUGAUAAAUUCUGUAAUAAUUAUUCAUUUUACAUGUAGAGUGAUUCCACUUCAAAUGGUUAGGAGUAGAGGGUGGUAACAAAUAAAAAAAACAACAACCCUG